GGAAGGGUGCAGGAGUGGUUUAACUGGCGGUCCUGGAAAGACCGUAUACCGCAAGGUAUCGCGAGUUCGAAUCUCGCCCCUUCCGCCA
rnacentral:tRNA from 3 species